GAAUUACAUCACAUAAAUUAUAUCACAAAAAUAAAUGAUGCUAUUUUAAAUUACUUAUUUACAAAUGAUGUGAAUAUACCUAUUUUUAAAUCAAUUAUAAUAACUGAUGUUUUAUUAAUUAAUUUAACAUCAUUUCAGAAAAAUGAUAUUUUUUUUUUGUUAAUUUGUAUCACUUAAAUGAAAUUGAUGCUAUCAUAUAAAUUUAUAUCGAUUAAAUAACUGAUGCAUUUAUUAUUUUAGUUAACAUCAGUUAUUAACAUGAUACAUAAUUUAGAUCAAUUAGAAAACUGAUGCUAACAAAAAUUUAUAAUAAUCCUUUUCUUUAACAUCAAUUUAAUAAAAUGAUGUUAUUUUAUUUUAAUUUGCAUCAGUUAAAAUAUUUGAGCUAGUAAAAAAAUAAUUUAUAUCGAGAACAAAAUUUGUAAAACUACAAUAUUAUUAUAGAAUAAACACAUAACUAUUAAAAAGUAGCAAAUGUGAUUGUUACAAUCCCCCAAAAAUAGGAACCACCAUUACAAGUUCAAAUAGAGUAAACCACUUAAACCCAAUGUAAUUAGAGAAGUAGUUAUUAUUCUUUUCUGUGAAGAUCUUCCUAUUCGUCACACUCUCUCAAAUCUCUUUCAUCAGUUUUUUUGUUCUCUGUUAUUUGAUUAAAAGCAUUUUCUCAACAUGAAUCAAGUAUUCUUAUAUGAAUCAUGAUGAUUAUGAUUGUGUUUCUGUUUAUAGAAGAUUUGAAAGGAAGAUUUUGCUUUUCUUAAAAAUCUGAUGAAAAAUUCUUGAUAGGUUUCAGAAGCAAUUGGAUUUGAUCAUGUUUCUUUGUUGUCUGCUACUUAGGAGUAACAAGCUCCACGCCAUUAUCAUUUUCCAUGGCCAAUUGAAGACAAAAUGAAGAAGAAGAAGAAGAAGAAGAAGAAGAAGAAGAAGAAGAAGAAGAAGAAGAAGAAGAAGAAGAAGAAGAAUUUAUUGAAGAAACUGCUAUGGCCAAUUCUUUUAACUAUUUUUACAAGUUUUUUUCUUUCUUUCUUUGAAUUCAUUUUCCAGUCUUAUUUGUGAGGCUUCUCCUUUUCUUCUUCGUUAAAUUUUCACAGGAACAAAAAAAUAAAAAAUGCUUAAUUAAAAGAUUUUUAUUUUUA